GGCCUCGUAGCUCAGCUGUUAGAGCACUAGUGGUACUAAUGCGACGGUGGCAAUCACGCGUGGGUUCGAAUCCUGCCGAGGUCA
rnacentral:tRNA from 1 species